GACGAACGCUGGCGGCGUGCUUAACACAUGCAAGUCGAACGGUAAGGCCCUUCGGGGUACACGAGUGGCGAACGGGUGAGUAACACGUGAGUAACCUGCCCUUGACUCUGGGAUAACUGCGGGAAACUGUAGCUAAUACCGGAUACGACCCUCGGAGGCAUCUCCUGGGGGUGGAAAGAAUUUCGGUCAAGGAUGGACUCGCGGCCUAUCAGCUAGUUGGUGAGGUAAAGGCUCACCAAGGCGACGACGGGUAGCCGGCCUGAGAGGGUGACCGGCCACACUGGGACUGAGACACGGCCCAGACUCCUACGGGAGGCAGCAGUGGGGAAUAUUGCACAAUGGGCGCAAGCCUGAUGCAGCAACGCCGCGUGAGGGAUGACGGCCUUCGGGUUGUAAACCUCUUUUAGCAGGGAAGAAGCGAAAGUGACGGUACCUGCAGAAAAAGCACCGGCUAACUACGUGCCAGCCGCCGCCGUAA
rnacentral:rRNA from 1 species